rnacentral:lncRNA from 1 species
AGUCGCAAUCACAACACUUAGAACCUACAUGAAUAUGGUUACUGUAUAAUUCAUCCUUUUGACCUCUGUGUUUAGGACGACUCAGGGUUAAACUGUCAACCCUGAUUAGAUCAUCCGAAUCGUGCUCAACUCAAACAGUCCUGUGACUCCUCACAAAGACUAUCCUGGCCAAAGUUUUGCUAAAUUGAAAUACGACUGUACACAGCUCCUAAACUGGAGUGGUCAAUCCCAUCUUGACACACGCACCGACAAGUCAAGUACUUGACUACACCCAGCAGCCUUCCGUCACUGAAUUAGAAAUUCAAGUAGUCCAGUGCCUAAGUGUAGUGAGUUGCUUGCAAGUCACCGUGGCGGUCUC